GCAAACUUGGUCAUUUAGAGGAAGUAAAAGUCGUAACAAGGUAACCGUAGGUGAACCUGCGGUUGGAUCAUUAAAAAAUCAAAACGUCUCGCGGUGGGAGGGCGGUCCAGUCGGGCCGUCUGACCCCGUGGACACACACCUUUGUGAACGUUUCACGUAUUUUGGUGGUCGGCCAAAGAGAUGGCAACGUCUCUGCGGUUGGGAGCGCUCGUCGUGUCCCGAUCGACCACCAGAGAACAACAAACACCAUGUCUUUUUCAUUUCUUCUGAAACCAAAGAGUGACAAUGAGAAACAACUUUAGACAACGGAUCUCUUGGCUCUCGCAUCGAUGAAGAACGCAGC
rnacentral:misc_RNA from 1 species